AGUGAACGCUGGCGGCAGGCCUAACACAUGCAAGUCGAGCGGCAGCGGGUCCUUCGGGAUGCCGGCGAGCGGCGGACGGGUGAGGAAUGCGUCGGAAUCUGCCUUUUUGUGGGGGAUAACGUAGGGAAACUUACGCUAAUACCGCAUACGACCUACGGGUGAAAGUGGGGACCGGAAGGUCUUCCGACCUAGAGAGAGCCGAAGUCGGAUUAGCUAGUUGGCGGGGUGAAGGGCCACCAAGGCGACGAUCCGUAGCUGGUCUGAGAGGAUGAUCAGCCACACUGGAACUGAGACACGGUCCAGACUCCUACGGGAGGCAGCAGUGGGGAAUAUUGGACAAUGGGCGCAAGCCUGAUCCAGCCAUGCCGCGUGUGUGAAGAAGGCCUUCGGGUUGUAAAGCACUUUUGUCCGGAAAGAAAUCCUGUCGGCUAAUACCCGGCGGGGAUGACGGUACCGGAAGAAUAAGCACCGGCUAACUUCGUG
rnacentral:rRNA from 1 species